rnacentral:rRNA from 1 species
UGGGGAAUUGUUCGCAAUGGGCGAAAGCCUGACGACGCAACGCCGCGUGGAGGACGAAGAUCUUCGGGUCGUAAACUCCUGUCGAGCGGGAAGAAUGCUUGCCAGAUAAAUAUUCUGGGAAAUUGACGGUACCGCUAAAGGAAGCCCCGGCUAACUCCGUGCCAGCAGCCGCGGUAAUACGGGGGGGGCAAGCGUUGUUCGGAAUUACUGGGCGUAAAGGGCUCGUAGGCGGCCAACUAAGUCGGAUGUGAAAUCCCCAGGCUCAACUUGGGAACUGCAUCCGAUACUGGAUGGCUUGAAUUCGGGAGAGGGAUGCAGAAUUCCAGGUGUAGCGGUGAAAUGCGUAGAUAUCUGGAGGAAUACCGGUGGCGAAGGCGGCAUCCUGGACCGACAUUGACGCUGAGGAGCGAAAGCUAGGGGAGCAAAC